rnacentral:piRNA from 1 species
UACUGUUUCUUUGAAAUAAAAGUGA